UUUAGGGGCAUUAAAUUCCUAAAGGUACCAAAUCCCUUCUGAUGUUGGAAGCUAAGCAGGAUCAGCCCAGAUUGGUACUUGGAUGAGAGACAGCCAGUUGAUACCAGGUGCUGUAGGC
rnacentral:rRNA from 11 species